CCUGUUUCAAUCGAGCGUCCAACGCUGCCUGCUCAGGUAGGACUUCUGUUUUUAUUCCGUUCUUCUUCUUCUUCUUUUCCUGGCGCACUUGAGAUUCUUAUAUUCGAGAAAUUACAUGUCCUUAUGGGCUGGAUUGUUCACCUUUAGAUUUCCGCUACACAGUAUACAUUCCUAUGCUAAAUAUUUCCACUUUUAUGCAGGCCAGGAAAGAAAAGAUGCAUGUUUCGUUGGUUGAGGAUGUGUCAUCCUAGAGCUAUCAAUGGAAAAUUCUGGAAAGCUUGCAUUGCAUAUAUAUGGAAAUACAGGGACAGGACACGACAAAACAUAUAUGAGCUGAACUUUAUUGUUGUAGACCAUGAGAUUCGGCUCGAGUCUGUUAGGUAUAGCACUGUUUUAUCUCGGCGUGGUGAAGUCUUCCCGUUGAGAGAAAUAUUACAAAUAUUGGCAAAUCUGAGUAAAGAUCUAUUGCUCUUCAAGGUCAAGUCUAAAUUAGCAAAAUAACCCUUUUUGGAUGAUGGAAGAGCUUUAUACUACCCAUCUCCCAAACUCUAUACCUAUCGACACUCAUAUAUGAGAAAUAGAGUUUUGUCUUCUCCAAACUUUGGUUAAUAGUUCGCCUAACUAAGAAGUUUGAUUGAGAAGUGGACCGAGCAAGGAAACAUCAUGUUUGGGCUUCAGGGGAUGCUUAGUAUUUUUUUCCACAACAGCUUAUUUCAUCAGAAGAUUAGUUGAUGCCAGCCUUUAUUUUAGACUCAAGAUAUUCAGCUCACUAUCAUCACCGAGAGAGGCUAACUGAGACAGUCGGUGCUCUGUGUUGUUGAUUUCUAGGCGAGAUACUGAAAAUAAUGCAUUGCAGGAAGACCUAAAGAGCAGCCAGCGAGACGGUAAAAUCUGUCUGAAAUAGGCUUCGUUAUUGUUCACCAAGAGGGCAGCACAAUGAAGGCUAAGUACCAGCCAAUCAAAUAUACCAGUUCAGAGAAUACCUAAAAGAGGGUUCGAUCUAGAGAUUUGAAUCUGUUGUGUCCCAGAACCUGAACACUUUUCUCUAUUCGCGUAUAGCGCAAAACUGCAUUAUCAUUGAGCACGAAUGAGGUGCAUUUGUGGAGGACGCAUUUGUGGAGGACGACGAUAUUGUGAAAGGUG